AGUAGCCUACGGGACGCAGCAGUGGGGAAUAUUGCACAAUGGGGGAAACCCUGAUGCAGCAACGCCGCGUGAGUGAAGAAGUCAUUCGUGAUGUAAAGCUCUAUCAGCAGGGAAGAAAAUGACGGUACCUGAGUAAGAAGCCCCGGCUAACUACGUGCCAGCAGCCGCGGUAAUACGUAGGGGGCAAGCGUUAUCCGGAUUUACUGGGUGUAAAGGGAGCGUAGACGGCUAUGCAAGUCUGGAGUGAAAGGCGGGGGCCCAACCCCCGGACUGCUCUGGAAACUGUAGAGCUAGAGUGCAGGAGG
rnacentral:rRNA from 1 species